rnacentral:piRNA from 1 species
UCUUCAGCUGGGAACGGUGGUAAUGU